CCUACGGGGUGCAGCAGUGAGGAAUAUUGGUCAAUGGACGAGAGUCUGAACCAGCCAAGUAGCGUGAAGGAUGACUGCCCUAUGGGUUGUAAACUUCUUUUAUAUGGGAAUAAAACAGGGUAUGCAUACCCUCUUGUAUGUACCAUAUGAAUAAGGAUCGGCUAACUCCGGGCCCGCAGCCGCGGUAAUACGGAGGAUCCGAGCGUUAUCCGGAUUUUUUGGGUUUUAAGGGAGCGUAGGUGGGUUGUUAAGUCAGUUGUGAAAGUUUGCGGGUCAAACGUAAAAUUGCAGUUGAAACUGGGAGUCUUGAGUGCGGGAGAGGUGGGCGGAAUUCGUGGUGUAGCGGUGAAAGGCUUAGAUAGCACGAAGAACUCCGAUUGCGAAGGCAGCUCACUGGACUGCGACUGACGCUGAUGCUAGAAAGUGUGGGUAUCGAACAGGAUUAGAUACCCGGGUAGUC
rnacentral:rRNA from 1 species